GACGUAGGGCGCGAGCGUUGUCCGGAUUUAUUGGGCGUAAAGAGCUCGUAGGCGGCUUGUCGCGUCGACUGUGAAAACCCGCGGCUCAACUGCGGGCUUGCAGUCGAUACGGGCAGGCUAGAGUUCGGUAGGGGAGACUGGAAUUCACGGUGUAGCGGUGAAAUGCGUAGAUAUCGUGGAGAACACCCGUGGCGAAGGCGGGUUUCUGGCUGACAACUGACGCUGAGGUGCGAAAGCUAGGGGAGCGAACGGG
rnacentral:rRNA from 1 species